UAGUCCACGCCGUAAACGAUGAGUGCUAGUUGUUGGGCCUUGAGCUCGGUGACGUAGUUAACGCGUUAAGCACUCCGCCUGGGGAGUACGGUCGCAAGAUUAAAACUCAAAGGAAUUGACGGGGACCCGCACAAGCGGUGGAGCAUGUGGUUUAAUUCGAGGCAACGCGAAGAACCUUACCAGUCCUUGACAUCCCGAUCGCGAUUAAUGGAGACAUUUUUCUUCAGUUCGGCUGGAUACCACACAGGUGCUGCAUGGCUGUCGUCAGCUCGUGUCGUGAGAUGUUCGGUUAAGUCCGGCAACGAGCGCAACCCACACCCUUAGUUGCCAGCAGUUCGGCUGGGCACUCUAAGGGAACUGCCCGUGAUAAGCGGGGGAAGGUGUGGAUGACGUCAAGUCCUCAUGGCCCUUACGGGUUGGGCUACACACGUGCUACAAUGGUGGUGACAGUGGGUUAAUCCCCAAAAACCAUCUCAGUUCGGAUUGUCCUCUGCAACUCGAGGGCAUG
rnacentral:rRNA from 1 species